rnacentral:rRNA from 1 species
UUGGGAGCUCACUGGCUUCGGAGUCGUAGGAACUCCGAAGUUAAGCGAGUUGGGGGCUAGAGCAAUCCCAAGAUGGGUGACCCACUGGGAAGUUGCUCGUGAGUUCCCAGA